GACGAACGCUGGCGGCGCGCCUAACACAUGCAAGUCGAACGAGCGAGAGAGAGCUUGCUUUCUCGAGCGAGUGGCGAACGGGUGAGUAACGCGUGAGGAACCUGCCUCAAAGAGGGGGGACAACAGUUGGAAACGACUGCUAAUACCGCAUAAGCCCACGACCCGGCAUCGGGUAGAGGGAAAAGGAGCAAUCCGCUUUGAGAUGGCCUCGCGUCCGAUUAGCUAGUUGGUGAGGUAAUGGCCCACCAAGGCGACGAUCGGUAGCCGGACUGAGAGGUUGAACGGCCACAUUGGGACUGAGACACGGCCCAGACUCCUACGGGAGGCAGCAGUGGGGAAUAUUGCACAAUGGGGGAAACCCUGAUGCAGCGACGCCGCGUGGAGGAAGAAGGUCUUCGGAUUGUAAACUCCUGUUGUUGAGGAAGAUAAUGACGGUAC
rnacentral:rRNA from 1 species